GGCCGGCUGGCUCAAUCGGUAGAGCGUCUGACUACGAAUCGUGGUUUCGAAUGAGUCAUGAAUAGUCCAUCAGGAGGCUGCAGGUUCGAGUCCUGCGUCGGUCA